AGUGAACGCUGGCGGCAUGCCUAACACAUGCAAGUCGAACGGCAGCACGGGUGGUGGCUCCUGUUGGCGAGGGCCGAACGGGUGAGGAAGACAUCUGAACAGGUCUCUAAGUGUUGGUGAGCGCUGCGGAAGCGGGAUUAAUACCACAAACGAUCUACGGAUGAAAGUGGAGGACCUGCGGCCUUCGCGCUAUCGGGUUUGCCUAUGGCGAUGUCGGAUUAGCUAGUUGGAGGGGUAAAGGCCUACCAAGGCGACGAUCAGUAGCUGGUCUGAGAGGAUGAUCAGCCACACUGGAACUGAGACACGGUCCAGACUCCUACGGGAGGCAGCAGUGGGGAAUUUUGGACAAUGGGCGCAAGCCUGAUCCAGCCAUGCCGCGUGUGUGAAGAAGGCCUUCGGGUUGUAAAGCACUUUUGUCCGGAAAGAAAAGCUUGGCUUUAAUACAGCCGGGGGCUGACGGUACCGAAAGAAUAAGCACCGGCUAACUACGUG
rnacentral:rRNA from 1 species